UGGGGAAUUUUGGACAAUGGGGGCAACCCUGAUCCAGCAAUGCCGCGUGAGUGAAGAAGGCCUUCGGGUUGUAAAGCUCUUUUGUUAGGGAAGAAACGGUUAGAUUUAAUAAAUUUAAUUAAUGACGGUACCUAAAGAAUAAGCACCGGCUAACUACGUGCCAGCAGCCGCGGUAAUACGUAGGGUGCAAGCGUUAAUCGGAAUUACUGGGCGUAAAGCGUGCGCAGGCGGUUAUGUAAGACAGAUGUGAAAUGCCCGGGCUCAACCUGGGGACUGCAUUUGUGACUGCAUGGCUAGAGUGUGUCAGAGGGGGGUAGAAUUCCACGUGUAGCAGUGAAAUGCGUAGAUAUGUGGAGGAAUACCGAUGGCGAAGGCAGCCCCCUGGGAUAACACUGACGCUCAUGCACGAAAGCGUGGGGAGCAAACAGG
rnacentral:rRNA from 1 species